rnacentral:rRNA from 1 species
GAUAAAAGCUACUCCGGGGAUAACAGGCUAGUCUCCCCCAAGCGUCCACAGCGACGGGGAGGUUCGGCACCUCGAUGUCGGCUCGUCGUAUCCUGGAGCUGAACAAGGUUCCAAGGGUUUGGCUGUUCGCCAAUUAAAACGGCACGUGAGCUGGGUUCAGAACGUCGUGAGACAGUUCGGUCUCCUAUCCGCUAUGGGCGUCGAAACUUGAGGGGUCCCUUCUCUAGUACGAGAGGACCGAGAAGGACGAACCUCUGGUGUACCAGUUGUCCUGCCAAGGGCAUCGCUGGGUAGCCAAGUUCGGUUUAGAUAAACGCUGAAAGCAUCUAAGCGUGAAACUGUCCCCAAGAUUAGGUUUCAUAGAACCCUAGUAGACUACUAGGUUGAUAGGCAGCAGGUGUAAGAGUAGUAAUACUUUUAGCCGAGCUGUACUAAUAGUUCAUUGUUUAACCAC